CUGAGUUUACGCUCCACAACCCUUUGUGAACAUACCUAUAACUGUUGCUUCGGCGGGUAGGGUCUCCGCGACCCUCCCGGCCUCCCGCCUCCGGGCGGGUCGGCGCCCGCCGGAGGAUAACCAAACUCUGAUUUAACGACGUUUCUUCUGAGUGGUACAAGCAAAUAAUCAAAACUUUUAACAACGGAUCUCUUGGUUCUGGCAUCGAUGAAGAACGCAGCGAAAUGCGAUAAGUAAUGUGAAUUGCAGAAUUCAGUGAAUCAUCGAAUCUUUGAACGCACAUUGCGCCCGCCAGCAUCCUGGCGGGCAUGCCUGUUCGAGCGUCAUUUCAACCCUCAAGCUCUGCUUGGUGUUGGGGCCCUACAGCUGAUGUAGGCCCUCAAAGGUAGUGGCGGACCCUCCCGGAGCCUCCUUUGCGUAGUAACUUUACGUCUCGCACUGGGAUCCGGAGGGACUCUUGCCGUAAAACCCCCAAUUUUCCAAAGGUUGACCUCGGAUCAGGUAGGAAUACCCGCUGAACUUAAGCAUAUCA
rnacentral:rRNA from 1 species